GUUUUCAUUGGUUUGGAGUUUUUAGACCCUUCAUUGUUGACCAGUGGAAAACUUCCCGCCGAAGUGUUUCAAAUAGCACUUUGUCUUCAAACGAACAAGAUGGACACAUGCAGUUUACAGAAGCAAAAGAUUUGAUUUGAACUGUUCGUGAAACCACACAUACUCAAGAGAAUUUACAAGACUAUUAUCCACAAAAUGCAACAGUCUUAUUUUGAUGAAUUGUUGAACCAGAGAAAUGUGAAGACUUACAGACACCUAGACUGUAUAGUCAACAUAACAAUGAUUAGAGAAUCAGACUACAGUGAACAUUACAAUGAUUAGAAAAUCAGCUAGAGUCAACAUUACAAUGAUUAGAGAAUCAGACUAUAGUCAACAUUACAAUGAUUAGAAAAUCAGCCAGCUGCAUUUCAUCAAUCAGUUUAUGAUGAAGCUGUACAGCAUUGGAAAUGAUUACUCAGGGACCAAACAACUGAGCAGAAAGAAGAACCGUAUGACCUUGAAGAGUAAGCAAUGUAUUAAGUAUAUUUGGGGUUACCAAAGAGUAUGGUAAGAACCUCAUCUUAAAUUAUACUUGAUUGCAGCAGUGGGAUGUUACAGUCAUAGACGUUGGAUAGACUCCGUUGUACUAGGCCAGGGAGGGUAGCGCAGAGUUUCCGCAGAACUAUACAAUAGUAGCAAGAUCACUCUACCAUGAGCUUGUUAAAGGGCCCGUUUGAUGAAAGUGACAACAACGUUCUCCACGACACUACAGAUUUGUUUUUGCAGAUGCAGCUGAGAGGAUGUUUCAGUCAUGGACUCAUUUGAUGGAAGUGGCACCAACAUUCUCAAACACUAAUAAUUUACAAAUUUGUUUUUGUUGUAGAUGCAACCUCAGUCAUACACCCUAGAGUUUGGCUAUGUUGUGACAGAAGAAGAGUGGCAUAUAGACUUCUGUAUGUCCAUUUUUAUGGAAGUGACAAAUUACUAAUCUUUCUUCUUAUAUCCAUUUCAGAGUUCUUACAAAGAUGCAUAGAUUGCAGCAGUGGGAUGUUACAGUCAUAGACGUUGGAUAGACUCCGUUGUACUAGGCCAGGGAGGGUAGCGCAGAGUUUCCGCAGCACUAUACAAUAGUAACAAGAUCACUCUACCAUGAGCUUGUUAAAGGGCCCGUUUGAUGAAAGUGACAACAACGUUCUCCACGACACUACAGAUUUGUUUUUGCAGAUGCAGCCGAGAGGAUGUUUCAGUCAUGGACUCAUUUGAUGGAAGUGACACCAACAUUCUCAAACACUAAUAAUUUACAAAUUUGUUUUUGUUGUAGAUGCAACCUCAGUCAUACACCCUAGAGUUUGGCUAUGUUGUGACAGAAGAAGAGUGGCAUGUAGAUUUCUUUUAUGGAAGUGCAAAUAACUAAUCUUUCUUCUUCAUAUCUAUUUCAGAGUUCUUACGAAGAUGUAUAGGUAUGCAGUAUUUAUUAUUUUUGUCUCUGUGUAUUUUUGUCAAUGAGGUAAAACCACAGAACAAAUCAAUCAGAAGUAUUAACUGGUGUAAUUUGAGAACACCCUGGAACACAAGAAAUAUCCUACCUCACAAAAUUUAACAUGAGACAUCUUGUUUUCACCUUUUUUCAAGGAAGCAGCACACACAGUGUAAUCAUGAAGGUAUCCAUGUCCUGGAACAUCUGGGAAUAGCAUAUCUCUAAUAGUAUUUUUACUACUAUCCUCAAAAUUCAAACAAAACAGUCAGAUAUUUUGAUCAACAAGAGGUACAAUCUCAAACCAUGUGGUGAAAAAAGACAACACAUAACCAAAAAAAGUGACGGAAAAUUGUCUACACUGACAAUAAAAUAUUAUACAGCAACAACCCAUUCAAAGACCUGAGAGAUUCUCAAGCACCAAUUCAACCAAAGACCAGGGAUGAUCUCCAGCACUGAGCACCAACCAAAACAAAGAACAGACAUGAACUAGGGCAAAAAGCACCAACCCAACCAAAGACCUAAGAGGUUUUCAGGCACCAUGCAACCAACUAAACUAAAUAGCCAGGGAUGAUCUCAGACACCAUGCACCAACCUUUCCAAAGAUCAGGGAUGCUUUCAGGCACAACAACCUUACCAAAGACCAGGAAUGAUCUGACACCAAGCACCAACCAAAACAAAAAAAAGGGUGAUCUCAGACACCACAGAAUGUUAGCAAGUAUUUGAUAUGUUAACUUAUCUACUACUUGUGUAAGUAAAAUGUUUUUUUUUCAUUCUGUGCUGCAUUUAUUCUAUCAAAAAUUGUCAAAAUGCAACAUGAAAUUUUUAUGUGUUUUUCAUCUCUUUCUUCAAAAUGUUUUACAUAUUGAAAUUUUUUGAAAAUUCCAUUGGACUAUCAAAAAUAAUUAGUAAAUAAUUUCUUGAAUAAUUUUUUUUUUAUUGGAAAUGUUAAUUUACUUUAAUCAACGAAUAUGAAAAUAAAUGUUCAAACCUUUUUCAUGCAUAACCAAAUUAAUAAAUGUGUUAAAUAAAAGAUUACAAAUAAAAAAUUUCUAUAUUUUUUUUUUAGAAAAUUAAGAUAUGCUUCUAAGAGUUUUUACAAUUGAACUGUUCCAGAAUAUAAUAAUGUAUUGUUUUUUACAGAAAAUAUAAGGUAAAAUGACAAAUUAUGAUUUGGGUUUACAUGAAAACACUGAUAUCUUGAAUGACAGUAGCAUAGGUGGAUCCAGGGAGCCUUGCCCCCCCC